rnacentral:rRNA from 1 species
UACGUAGGGUGCAAGCGUUAAUCGGAAUUACUGGGCGUAAAGCGCGCGUAGGCGGAUCGCUAAGUCAGGGGUGAAAUCCCAGGGCUCAACCCUGGAACUGCCUUUGAUACUGACGAUCUGGAGAUCGGGAGAGGUUGGUGGAAUUCCGAGUGUAGAGGUGAAAUUCGUAGAUAUUCGGAGGAACACCAGAAGCGAAGGCGGCCAACUGGCCCGAUACUGACGCUGAGGCGCGAAAGCGUGGGGAGCAAACAGG